CAUAACUUGUUGCUGCUCCUCAUCAACUCUGCUGCUGUUGGAUGCAUGGUGUGGCUGCAACUCUGUUCUGCUCUCUUCUCCCGCGUGCUGCAGCUACUGCGUGGUGCAUGUUUUCUCCAGGAGAAUGUAGUUGCUCACACCAGAAAAAGGACCGAGCUGAAGUGAUGAGGUGACAGGCACUUUGGUUGUAGAACACAAGCUCACAUCCAUCGGCUAGUGCCGCUGCAAAAUUACUUGAAGCCAUCCAAAUAUUGAUCUUGAUAAGGAAUCAAUCUGGCUUCAUCUCUUGUAACCAAGAGAAUCAGACCAAUUUUUACGUACAAGGAGAAUGUUCUUGUUGCCAUCAGAAUAGGAUCAAGCUGAAGAGAUGGAGGUGGCAAGCUCAUUUGUGGUGGAGCACAAGUUCACAACUUUCAGUCAUUGAGCAGGCAACCCAACUAGUGCCGCUGCAAAGUUACUUGAAGCCAGAUUUUGGAGAGUGUGGGCUUGUCUUUGGCGUACGGACAUAAGAAGAUACUAUUAGGACUUAUCAUCCGUCGUGUGCGACCAACAAUGGCCGAGCUAGUGGUCGGGCCACUGCUCUCCAUGGUGAAGAAUAAGGCAUGCAACUACCUGAUGGACCAGUUCAAGGUGAUGCAAGGUAUGGAGAAGCAGCGUAAGAUCCUGGAGCGCAAGCUGCCGGCAAUCUUGGACAUAAUUCAGGAUGCAGAGGAGAAAGGAGGUUUCAGACCCGGAGUAGCAGCUUGGCUGAAAGAUCUUAGGACAGUAGCCUAUGAGGCCAAUGACGUCUUUGAUGAGUUCAAUUACGAGGCACUUCGGCGACAAGCCAAGAAGAAGGGGCACCACAGCAAGCUCAGCAUGGAGGUUGUGGAUCGCAAUCCUAUUGUAUUUCGCUACAGGAUGGGCAAGAAGCUACGCAAGAUUGUGCAGACCAUCGAGGUCCUGGUGACCGAAAUGAAUGCAUUUGGCUUUAGUCACCUGCAGCAAGCUCCAGCAUCAAAGCCAUGGCGGAUUUCAGAUUCUAUUUUGGUUGACUCUGACAAGGAUAUUGUCAGCAGAUCUAGGGACAAAGAGAAGAACAAAAUUGUGGGGAUACUGCUUCAUGAAGCUAGCAAAAUGGACCUAUUGGUAUUACCAAUUGUUGGGAUGGGUGGGCUGGGCAAGACAACAUUUAUCCAACUUGUCUAUAAUGACCCAGCAAUUCAGAAGCACUUUCAGCUCCAGAGAUGGUGUUCUGUGUCAGAUAGUUUUGACAUUGCUAAUAUUGCAAGUAGAAUUUGCCAGACCAAUGAAAAUGAUCAAGGUAGUGAAAAUGCAUUGAAGAAUCUCCAGAAACUAACAAAUGGAAAGAGGUACCUAAUUGUGCUAGAUGAUGUAUGGAAUCGGGAUGAGGCAAAGUGGGAAAAAUUGUUGACUUGCCUCAAGCAAGGUGAUAAGGGCAGUACAGUAUUGGCAACAACACGUGAUAAGGAAGUAGCUCGAAUUAUGGCCAUUGGAGCAUCUGAAUCCUACAAUCUUGAAAAACUGAGUAACAAGCAUUUGAAAGAAAUAGUACAAAGUAGAGCAUUCAGUUUAGAAAAUCCCUAUAGUGAUGAGCUGGUUGGCAUUCUUGAUACGAUUGUCGACCGAUGUGCUGGUUCUCCUUUGGUUGCCAAAGUCUUUGGCUCUAUGUUGAGUACCAGAAAAAGUUUGAAAGAAUGGAAGGACAUAUCUACCAAAAGUAACAUUUGUAACGAAAGAACUGGGAUCUUACCGAUGCUGAAGCUCAGUUUUGAAGACCUGCCAUCACAUAUGAAGCAAUGCUUUGCAUUAUGUGCUAUAUUUCCCAAAAACUACGAAAUUGCUGUGGAACUGUUGAUAGAGCUUUGGAUGGCACAUGACUUGAUACCUGUCCGGGAAGAUGAACAUCCUGAGACUGCAGGAGAAGAAGUUUUCAAGGAGCUUACUUGGAGGUCAUUUUUUGGAGAAUUGAAGCAAAAAAGUCCGUUUGAUUACGGAGAAAGGUUGCAGCUUCGUACCGGAACCAUAUGCAAAAUACAUGAUCUCAUGCAUGACAUUGCUCUUUCUGUUGCGGGGAAAGAAUGUGCCACUAUAGUUGAUGAGCCAAGCAUGAAGAAAUUGUUGCAAAAUCCUAUUACUCGGCACUUGUUCUGGUCACAUGAAUCCAAUGAUUUUUUGAAGAAAGAAUCUCCUUCUCUCCGGACAUUAUUCUGUACAGACUAUGGCUCCUUUAGACAUAUAUCAAAGUACACCUCACUGCGAGCACUGCACCUUCCUCACAUGGAGCUAUGUAGAGUUGAAAUGAGGCAAUUGCAGCACCUAAGGUAUCUUAAUCUAUCAGGAAAUCUGCAACUGAAGGAAUUUCCUGAAGAUUUAAGCAUACUGUAUAAUCUACAAACGUUGAACCUUUCUCAUUGCGAACAACUUCGCCAGCUCCCAAAGGAUAUGAAGUAUAUGGCAAGCCUCCGACACCUCUAUACUAAUGGAUGCAAGUCAUUGACGUGCAUGCCUCCAGGACUGGGACAGAUCACUUCUCUACAGACUAUAACAUAUUUUGUUGUUGGUGCUUGCCCGGGCUGCAGUACUAUCAGAGAACUACAAAACUUAAACCUUGGUGGCGAGUUAGAGCUAAAUUGUCUGGAAAAUGCAACGGAAGCACUUGCAAAAUCAGCCAGUCUUCAAAAUAAAGAGAAACUCACACAUCUAUCACUUGAAUGGAAUAGUGAAGGUCAAGAGAAACCAGUGCAAGAUUGCCAUCAGAAGGUGUUGCAUGCUCUUAAACCUCAUGGUGGUCUGCAGAUGCUAAGGAUAGUUAACUACAAAGGCAACAGGUUACCAUUGUGGAUAACAGAUCACAGUCAGUUGCAGCACUUGACUGAGCUCCGUCUGCUUGGUUGUAUGUUGUGUGAGGAAUUUCCUUGGUUCAGCCAUUUCAAAGCUCUUGAAGUUCUUCAUUUAGAAAAGCUGAACAAAUUGCAAAGCCUGUGCAGUGAUAUGUCAUCCAUGCCAUUUCCAGCACUAAAGGAACUCCAGUUACACGAUUUGGAGAGUUUGGAGAGAUGGGUGGCAACAGAAGGCAAAGAAGAUGAACUGGCAUUUCCUGUACUUGAGGAGCUUGAUAUUGAAAACUGUCCUAAGUUGACUAGUCUGCCUGAAGCACCAAAGCUCAAGGUUAUGAGGCUGGAUGAAGACAAGGUGCUUCUGUCCUCAGCAGUAGUAUCAAGGCACAUGUCCUCACUGUCCAAGCUACAAUUGUGCGUCCGUGACACAGAAGAGACACCACCACAGGUCAAUCAGGAUCAUGAAUCGUCUCUGGCAGAACUUAUUUUGCAGGGCUGUCAAUUUUUCUUCUCCUCUGAUGCAUGGAAAUGCUUUAGAAUGGUUGUUUGUUUGGAAAUUACCGGAUGUGACUUUCUGGUCUACUGGCCAGAGGAAAUCUUCCAAAGCAUGGCUUCUUUGAAGAAUUUGGGGAUCUCUAACUGUAGCAACCUAAUAGGGGCCACACUGGAGAAAAAUGCUGAACCUAUACAAACAACAACAAAUCAAGUCCUGCCGUAUCUAGACAUGAUAAACAUAUUCAAUUGUGACAGUCUGAAAGAGCUUUUCAUGCUUCCCCUGUCUCGAUGUAUUGAUGUAUGUGACUGCCCCAGACUUGAGCACAUUUGGAGAGACGACAAGAAUUCUGAGACAUCUACAUCACGAUCUCAUACAUGCCUAGAAGCUAUAUGUAUUGCUCGCUGCGCCAACCUUGUGACACUUCCAAACCUGCCACCAUCCCUCAAGGAUUUACAGGUCGGCAUCUGUGUGGCGCUUCGUUCUGUGUCAGGGCACUUGGAUGCACUUGAGAAUCUAAUCAUAAUUGAUUGUGGCAACCUGGUAGAACUUCCAGAUUUACCACCAACCCUAAAGGAAUUAAGGAUCCAAAUUUGUGGGGAGCUCUGUUAUGUGUCAGGGAGCCUAGAUGCACUCGAGGAAUUACAAAUUGAUCACUGCAACAAGUUGCAGUCUCUUGAGUCAAUAGGAGACCUGCCAUUAUUACAGAUACUGAGAAUUGAGAGUUGUAACCGCCUUGCAGUCUUACCUGGUAAUCAUGGGAGUUACCUUUCACUUCGUGAACUUAGGAUCAAAUAUUGCCCGGCCAUAGAUAUGAAGCAGCUUUACUCAUGCCACCAACAGAGGCUUGACGGCCUCGAAGAUAAAGAUGUAUCCCAUGCUCAUUCAAGAAACCCAUUUGAAGGGCCUAAACUAAGGGAACCAAAAACAUGGCAUUAUGCUGUACCUUGGUGUCGAGAUUGGGCAAUCUGGCGACACAUUAACUGAAAACAGUUUCAGGCCACCUCAUCCAGCAAGGGAAAAAACUAUAGGUCACUAGUGUCAGAGGAUGAAGGACUGAAAGUCUGCAUAACAUCUGAUGGAAGUGUGUCGGCUGGCUGGACCUUCUUUCCAUCGCAGAUGCAGAUGCUCAGCCGGGGGGGUGCUGCACAGGCUGCUGAGGUGGUGGUUGAUGUAGAGGAUGGUGAUGACUAGUGUUGAAGUAUGAUCCGGAUUCUAACGUGAGCCUUGCAGGGACGCCUGGGGGGCCAUGGUUCAAGUUAUAUAUUUAGCAGAUUUAUUUCUAUAUUUGACUGCAAUCAGUCCAUCCUACAGAUAAAUCAUGUAAGCUGCAUGGGAAGAGCUGGCGACGCAUAGGAAGCCAACUCCCAAAGAGAUGAGGAAUACUACGAGGCUGGGAGAGAUUCAGCGCAACUUGUAUGCAACCCCAAAUGACCCGUGUAAAUCGGCAUUCAAAGAAAAGGUGCUUAAUUGUCUUAUUUUUAUGACAAAAGCAACAAUUCUUACUGCCUUGCCAUUUAUGUUUUGCUAAGUUAUCUUUUGUUAAGAUAACUCCCCUUCAAAAGUACCACAUAAAAAUCUUUAUCUUCAAUGGGGCCUUUGUUAUUGAAAUCAAUUUAUU